GAUGAACGCUGGCGGCGUGCCUAAUACAUGCAAGUCGAGCGAACAGACGAGGAGCUUGCUCCUCUGACGUUAGCGGCGGACGGGUGAGUAACACGUGUAUCACCUACCUAUAAGACGGGGAUAACUUCGGGAAAGCGGAGCAAAUACCGGAUAAUAUAUUGAACCGUAUGGUUGAAUGGUGAAAGUCGGCUUUUCUGUCACGUAUAGAUGGAUCUGCGCCGCAUUAGCUAGUUGGUAAGGUAACGGGUUACCAAGGCUACGAUGCGUAGCCGACCUGAGAGGGUGAUCGGCCACACUGGAACUGAGACACGGUCCAGACUCCUGCGGGAGGCAGCAGUAGGGAAUGUUCCGCAAAGGGCGAAAGCCUGGCGGAGCAACGCCGCGUCAGUGAUGGAGGUCUUCGGAUCGUAAAACUCUGUUAUUGGGGAAGAACAAAUGUGUAAGUAACUAUGCACGUAUUGACGGUACCUAAUCAGAAAGCCACGGCUAACUACGUG
rnacentral:rRNA from 1 species